rnacentral:lncRNA from 1 species
CCAGAACCCCCCGGCUGACCCCAGGCUGGAGACCCUGAGAGUGUGCCUGGGACGGUGGGUGCAGAUGAAGCAGCUCCGAGCCUCAGAGGGCACCAAGGUGACCCGGCUGUCCCUCUGCCUGAAGAAGGCGGCUCCUUCUCUCAGGGCCUGCGGGAGAGGACCCUGUGGCACAUCCUGAGCUGGUGGCGCUUGAGGGCAUGGGCUCAAGGCACUCUGUC